GAUUAUGAGUAAUUUUAUUAUUUUUCAAAUGAGACUGAACCGAGAUUAAUCAUUUUCUUUCCAGUGCUUAUUGUUAAGUAGUGUUUUGAUAGCCACAUGCCACAUACCACAUUGCAUGCCUGGUAUAUUUACAGUCAACAGAUUAUAUCAUUUCUUGGGACCAAAUAAAGUCCAAAUCAGAUUUUUUUUUUUUUGUCGCAGGAAUUUAUUAAAUGGGUCAAGCCCAAAUGGAACAAGGUCCGAACAUAACAUUACAAAGAAAAGCCAACAAAACGGGCCAAACUGAAUAGUACGACUAUGGACCAUAAGCCCAUAGAGGAAAACAAAACAGGUCCAAAGGAAGACGUGAUCGAUUCACAGCAGCUUCCACACAUGUUGAGCGCAUAACAAAGAUGAGAUACGUGUCCGGAAGUGGAAUCAUCACCUUACUUCAACAACCGGUAACCUGUCGCCGGAAUCUCUAAUCGAACUUCCACAGAAACCAACCGGAACAAGAAGGAGGAAGAUGAAGAGUAGCCGGCAAC
rnacentral:lncRNA from 1 species